rnacentral:sRNA from 1 species
GUUUGCUGCAAUUCGUGCUUUGACUGCUGUAAUUUUAUUCAAAGCCACAUAUCCACUUCAGUUUUGCAUUAUGCUUAGCUCUUGGGAUAUAUGGUAGCUAAGGAUUCGCUUUAUAAGAAACAAUUACCAGCGGUGUGUAUGUAUUGAGGAAAUCGAGCACUAAAUCAUAUCCAAACGAGCCCAACUCCCUAUCGUACCUCUGUGGCGCAUUAGAAAAUCAUCUAAGGUGAAAGAAUGGGGCAAAAAAGCGUCAUGUCUGCAAAAUUCGCGUCUGAACUCAAAUGCCUAUCAAACCUCUCUAAUACAUUGAUAAUAACUUUUGCCAUUGGCCUAUUCUGUUCCUUUUUCCUCAUUCUUUUCCUGGUAUGAUUAAAAAAGACAGGGAGAACAAAGGCAAAGAGUUGUUUCAAGUUUAUCGGCAGCAUCACCUCCACAGAUGUGACAUGCGUGGCAAGUUUUGAGGAGUUGAGUGCAUCUGCAUCCGUUCCAACCAUUACACAGUUUGAAGGCCGGAUUAGAUCACGUAGAACUAACGUCCACCCAGAACUUGUUUCCGCUACUGACAACCUUCCCAUCGUCGGUGGCUACAUCUCCUAAAACCCCACCGCCACCUACUGCCUUGCCCACCCUUUCCAUCACCGCCAACCCCAAACCAUCAUCUGAGCAGCCUUCAAUGACGAUAGCAUCAACUCCAGACGAUUGGCCAUCUGUCGAGGGGACACUCUCCAGGGUGAGCAUUCCGGCGAAUAAGCGUUGAGCUGCGGAAGCCGCAGAAUCACCUAAAGACACAGGGAUCAACUCUGCUUCAUCCGUAUCUAUAAGCAAACGCUUGCUCAAUGGGGAGCCUUCAAAAUGUAGAACGCCUAUUCUCCUCUUGGACUUCAAGUCCGAUGAUAUGUUUGACAAUAUUUGACGAAGUACAGCAGAUGCAGAUGAUGGAGAUUUUGAUGUGAGAGCUGGAGGACGAGGGAAUAUGUUGCUAGGUUUAAGAAGGAAUACGGGUACCCGGGGAGAAUAAUGUCGGUAUUUCAUACCGGGCGUUGAGGGUGGAAGACUGACCUUCGGAGCUGUUAAAAGGUUAACGUCGUUUUGCUGGACGGGAUCUACAGAUGAUGAAGGCCUAAAUGAUGCCUCCUUCCAAGCUUGUCCGAGCAGAAGGAUUUCUGUCUUGCCUUCUCCACCAUCAACCUCAUCUACAAUCUUUUUGAUUUGCUCUACACCUAGCCCGCCAGGGCGAAGGAUGUCUACCUUUCCUCCUCCCCCCUCCUUCCAUUCAAGCCCAUUUACGACGGUAGAUUCUACACCCACUCCACAGUCACCUCCGUCUAUUAUGCAUCCCAGACCAUCUGAUCCAUUGAGGUCAUUCCAAACAUGCUGUGCCUUGGUGGGGCUUGGUCUACCCGAAGAAUUGGCUGAAGGUGCGGAUAACGGAAGGUUGGAGUGGGCUAUGAGAGCAAGGGCGAGGGGAUGGGAAGGCAUGCGGAUAGCAUUUGUCUGAGGAGCAGGUGGUGGGGGAGGAGACGGCGAUGGGAACAGUAAAGAUAAAGGCCCGGGCCAAAAGGCGUUGAUAAGGGCAAGAUAAAGAGGCGAGAAAGUAUAGUCGGGUGGUAGGAGGCGACGCAGCAUAUUUAAUGAUGAGACGUGGAUAAUGAGAGGAUUGUCUGAUGGCCGAUUUUUGAUUUUGUAGAUCAUCCUGCAAGCUUCAGGAUCAAGGGACGAAGCUGCAAGACCAUACACCGUCUCAGUCGGAACAGCGACUGUCUUGUGCGAGUGAAGGUGCUUUGAAGCCUCUUCUAGAUGUGGCAGAAUGGAAGGUGGUAUAGAGAAGUGAGGAGAGUCAAGGGGAUGACUGGAUGAGGAAGAAGGCAUAAUAUCAAUUGCAGGCCAAUCUUGGCAUUGGUAAAUUGGGGUUGUGUUGCUCGACAUUGUGAAUAACCUGAGCGGAUUGCUAAGUAAUGGUCACAACCUUGUUGGAGCAACAGAUGUCAGAACCCACCUCGCCCGAAAUAAUGUUCUGGUUAAUAGUUUGCGAACAGUUGCCCGCAUGCCCCUAUGGCUUUUGGCCUUACUGUGCUCUGGUAUAUUUUCCUGCUGGUAUAAACGAUGAGAAG